rnacentral:miRNA from 1 species
UUUAGUGUUUAAGUAUGUCCCAUGCAAUAUUUGGGACAUAGUAAAAAA